rnacentral:rRNA from 1 species
CGCACGGGUGAGUAACGCGUAUGCAACUUACCUAUCAGAGGGGGAUAACCCGGCGAAAGUCGGACUAAUACCGCAUGAAGCAGGGGCCCCGCAUGGGGAUAUUUGCUAAAGAUUCAUCGCUGAUAGAUAGGCAUGCGUUCCAUUAGGCAGUUGGCGGGGUAACGGCCCACCAAACCGACGAUGGAUAGGGGUUCUGAGAGGAAGGUCCCCCACAUUGGUACUGAGACACGGACCAAACUCCUACGGGAGGCAGCAUG